CGUUGUAUUAGCUAGUAGGUGAGGUAAUGGCUCACCUAGGCGACGAUACAUAGCCGACCUGAGAGGGUGAUCGGCCACACUGGGACUGAGACACGGCCCAGACUCCUACGGGAGGCAGCAGUAGGGAAUCUUCGGCAAUGGGGGCAACCCUGACCGAGCAACGCCGCGUGAGUGAAGAAGGUUUUCGGAUCGUAAAGCUCUGUUGUAAGUCAAGAACGGGUGUGAGAGUGGAAAGUUCACACUGUGACGGUAGCUUACCAGAAAGGGACGGCUAACUACGUGCCAGCAGCCGCGGUAAUACGUAGGUCCCGAGCGUUGUCCGGAUUUAUUGGGCGUAAAGCGAGCGCAGGCGGUUUGAUAAGUCUGAAGUUAAAGGCUGUGGCUCAACCAUAGUUCGCUUUGGAAACUGUCAAACUUGAGUGCAGAAGGGGAGAGUGGAAUUCCAUGUGUAGCGGUGAAAUGCGUAGAUAUAUGGAGGAACACCGGUGGCGAAAGCGGCUCUCUGGUCUGUAACUGACGCUGAGGCUCGAAAGCGUGGGGAGCGAACAGGAUUAGAUACCCUGGUAGUCCACGCCGUAAACGAUGAGUGCUAGGUGUUGGAUCCUUUCCGGGAUUCAGUGCCGCAGCUAACGCAUUAAGCACUCCGCCUGGGGAGUACGACCGCAAGGUUGAAACUCAAAG
rnacentral:rRNA from 1 species